GCGCGGAGGCCGCCCGCUCGCCGGAGGGACCCGCGCGGACGCCGCGGCCGUGCCCGGCCCGGGUGUGCGGGAGGCGUCCUGGGAGCCGCGGGACGCGCGCCGCGCGCUCAGGCGCUGCCUCUCCCGGAAUGGUCGGGGAUGCGGGAGAGAAGAGCGAAAGGCUGCGAGGGUUUUGUUGUUUCGGUCGUAGUUUAAUUGCACGUUUCCUAGAAGUCCUGGAAGCGGAGCCAAAGACGAUUCCGCUUUGAGGGGAGAGGAUGAGACUUCAGUUUCUAUCUUCUUAAAGAAGUAUUUAAGUGUCCUCUGGGGCGGGGAGGCAGGGCGGGGAGCGUGUGAAUACUCAGUUAUUUCUCACAAUCUGAAAGACUUACUUAAAAAUUCUAGUGCGUUCGUGGUGUCCAACGUACUUCAUUUUUCUGUCCCUGUCCAAAAUGCUCAUAUCGCUGCCAGUUUCUUCCUUGCAACUAUUCUUACUCUGAGAAAAGUUCUCAAGGACCAUUUUUAUUCUUCUCCUUCCAGUAUGAGCGCUGUAAGUUACAGUGAGGCGAGGUAGUUUUUUUUUUUUUUUAAUAUCUUUUCAGAAUUAAAAUCUUUGCUACAGUGAAGGUACUUUCCCCACUUUUUUUCCUUACUUGUCCUAUGAAAAUACCUGAAAUCCUGAAAUAUUACAUCAAUUCAAAACUUGUACCACUUUUAAGAGCCAAAAAUGCUUAUGAUUUAUAAUAUUAGAAUUUCUGUAUUUCUCCCCAUUGGCAAUAUCAUGCACAGAAAAAGUAAAUUAGCACUUUAAAAAUAGAAAGAUUCCCAAGGUUUAAUGUAUUCACAGAACCACAAUGCGUUUCAGCAGUUCUCUCUCAGGAAUUAUUUCCAUACUCAAUGGUAAAAUAAUCGAUAACAUGAUAUUUGGUAAAUUAAAUCUGUUACUGUAAAUUUCUCUUGUCUUUGAAACCACUAAAGCACAAGUUGCUUUUGAAAUGGUACAAUUCUUUUUUUUUUUUUAAUUUGCUUAUUUAUUUGAAAGGUAGUUGCACACAGAGAGAGACAAAGAAAUCUUUCAUCUAAUGUUUCACUCCCCAAAUGGCUGCAAUGGCCAGGGCUGCACUAGGCCAAAGCCAGGAGUUUCAACUGGGUCUUUUAUGAGUUCAGGGGCCCAAGGACUAGGCCAUCUUCUUCUCUUUUCCCAGAGAGAUUAGCAGGGACUGGAAGCCACACCCAUAAGGAAUGCCCUGCUGCAGGCUGCAGCUUAACCUGCCCUGCUGCAAUCCAGGUCCCUGAAACGGUAGAAUUCUGUAUUUUGUGCAGAAUCGUUGUCUCCCAGAAAACUAUGAAAUAAGCUUACUUUAACAGAAAUAUGGUGCUUUAUAUACCUGUGAAUAUGAGAGGUGUGGAUAGGUUGAGUCUAAGAGCCAGCAGGGGACAGAUGUGUUAUCUUGCAUUCUUACACCCACAUGGACCACCUAGGUCUAAUCAAGAGAAAGCAUCAGGCAAACCUGAGUACAGGGAAAUUGUAGUCUGUAUUCUUGUAGUCAAUGUCACUAAGAAGACUGAAGAGUCAAGGAAAUUAAAGAGACAUGACAACUAAAUACAGUGUGUGAACUUCAACUGGACCCCUUACUGAAAGAGCGAAAUGUUGCAAAGAACAUUAUUGAGAUAUUUGAUCAAAUUGAAUAUGCGCUAUAGAUUAGGUAAAAUAUUAUAUCAAUGUCAAGUUACCAGAAUAUGUUAUGUAUGGGAAUAUCCUUGUUCUUAAGAAACACAGUAUUAUUAAGGUGUAAACAGACAUAAUGUGUGAUUUUCUCCCAAAUAGUUAAGAAAAAAAUAUAUUUUAAAUGCAUACUCAUAUACACAUCUCUCACAUCUGUCUAACAUAUACAGAGAGAGAGGGAGAUUGGUAAAAUUUAAAACCAGGUGAAUCAGAGGUUGUUUUUUUUUUUUUUACAAAAUAUGUUCUUAAUUUGGUGAAUCUUUACUUUCUGUAGAGUUCUUUUAAUUUUUUUGGUAAGUUUGAAGUUACUGCAAAAUAAUUAUUUUUUAUUUGUUUGAAAGAGUUAGAGAGAGCAAGGGGGAAAGAGAGAGAUCUUCCGUCUGCAGCUUCAUUCCCCAAAUGGCCGCAAUGGCUGGGGCUGGACCAGGCCAAAGGCAGGAAGUCCAUCUGUGUUUGCCACAGGGGUGUCCGGAGUCCAUGUACUUGGGCCAUCUUCCGCAGCUUUCUCAGGUGUGUUAGCAGGGAGCGGGAUAGAAGUGGAGCAGUGGGGACUUGGCCUGUGCUCAUAUGGGAUGCGGGAGCCCCAGGGGUGGUUUAACCAGCUGAACCACAAAUUUGGCCUCAUAAACAGUUUAAAAAAAACAGAGCUUUAAAAUUUAGGGAGUUCCUUUAUCUCACUAAGAGGAGGAAUGUGAUGGAAUAGAGAGAUAAAUAGAUAGCUGACCCCUUUUACCAUGGAACCUGCCAUCGGUUCCUCAGUAACCGAUUGGAGUUUUGGUCACUUAGCUAUUUCUUCCUUAUUUCAUCUAUUUGAAUUGGGUGCAGACACAGCCAGGAUUCUUUACUUAUGUAUUUGGGAAAUGAUUUCUCUGUUGAGUCAGUAAGUAUUCAGUGUCUGUUACCCACAAGACUGUGGGGAAAACAAGAAUAAAACAAACUGGACCUUGCAGGUGGUUACAGGGGGGAGGGGAGAAGAUAAGAUCUCUCAACUGUAUUCAAGAGCCUUUUCCUCUACUACUGUGCUGAUACAGCAGCCACAGCUACCCCUGACUAUUUAAAGUUAAAAUUAAAAUGCAGGCCUCAGAUGCACUGAAUGUGGCAUUCACAUUUCAGCUGCUCAAGAAACUCCAGAAAGUUCUAUGGAAUUGUGCCAGUAGUAGAGAAGAUGCUAUGUAAAUAACAUCAAUGCAAGGUAGACUGGUAAAUGCCAUAGAAACUUAGGAGAGGAAAGGUUACUUUGCCUGGGUUGGAAGCCAGGGAAAUAGCAGGGAAAGUUUCAAGAAGAUUGGAUAUAGGUGGGUGGUGAUGAAGCAAGAGGAUUCCAGAUGGAAAACAAAAGCAGGCAAGGGAGAGAGGCAUUUGCAAGAGUCAGUACUUAAUUCUACUCUGUGUAGCUAUAACACAAGACAUGUAGGGAAGGGUGAGAACCUAUGAAAUCGCAAAGGCUGAGCUGCUAAACCUAGAUUGGUCUCUAGGAAUUAGGACAAAAUCAAGUAGUUUUUUUAUUUAAGAUUUAUUUUAUUUAUUUGAAACUCAGAGUUACACAGAGAGAGGAGAGGCAGAGAGAGAGAGAGGUCUUCCAUCUGUUGGUUCACCCCCAGAUGGCCACAACUGCCGGAACUGCGCCGAUCUGAAGCCAGGAGCCAGGAGCUUCCUCCGGGUCUCCCAUGUGGGCACAGGGGCCCAACGACCCGGGCCAUCUUCUACUGCUUUCCCAGGCCAUAGCAGAGAGCUGGAUUGGAAGAGGAGCUGCCGGGACUAGAACCAGCACCCAUAUGGAAUGCCGGUGAUUCAGGCCAGGGCCCCAACCCACUGCGCCACAGCGCCGGCCCCAACCAAGUAGUUUUUAAAAAAGGAUAAUCUGGCAGCAGAUUAUGAAAUGGAUCAGAUGUGAAGGUGUCACAACCAGAUAACGUAGCAAUAGCCCAAAUUAGAGAGAAGGAGUUGAUGUAAGGUGGUCUGUCAAUAAGGGUGUUUUCAAUGUCAUGAUACAAACUCUAAAUGGCUUUUAUCUAUCUACAAACCCAGAAAUUCCAAAGCAGAAUAAACUUUAGGUUUGAAAGAUUCAGAAGCUCAAUAAUAGCCUCAAGGACCAGGUUCUUGGCAUUUCUGUUCUACUACUAUGGUUGUUGGCAUCAUUCAGUGGCUAACAGCAAGGUGGGAAUGGUAGUUGUAGGAAUCCAGACCAUAAUAUCCAGAGGAAGAAGAGUGAUUGUCUUCAGAGAGGGCUAAUGUUUCCCAGAGCUGCUCCCUCUAAGCCUGGACUGGCUUCCCUUUUGAUCUCCUUGGCCACGGAUGAAUCCCAUGUCUGUUCUUGGUCCACAGGGUGGAACAAGAGCUAGAGUCAAAGUUGACGCUGAGGGUUUGAGCCGGAUGACUAAGGAACGUAUGAAGAGAACUUGUGAGCGGGCAGAUGAUUGUUGUAGUGGUCCUUCUUAAUUUGAGAAACUGCAGAGAUGUCCAGCCGGAGAUGGCCAGCAGGAGAAAACAGGCUGGGGCUCAGAAUGAAGAUGGAAGUUGGGGAUACACAUUGGAAGUCAUCUGCGGAAACAUAAAGGCUAAGAGUGUUUUGUUAUGGAGAGAUUCAGGAUGAUACAGAAACAUUGGAUUAAUAACUGGAAGGUCACUGUGACCUUGAAGAGAAUUAUUGCUUUAGCCAAGUAGGAACAUACACAUUUCAUUAGUUAAGAAGUGAGCAGAUAAGUAGGUAGAAAUAAGAGAAUACUUCAAGAAAUUCAUGGAAACAUGAAAUUAAAAGAUAAGUUUAUUUUGGCAUAAAAAUUGUUUUAAAUCUGUUCACAGUUUCUUUUAUUAAUAUAUAGCUUUUCAUGAAGUUUUUGUAGCUCCUUUGUAUGCAUGGAUUUCACAUUAAUUUUUUGCAUCAAAACACCACAAACUUUUUGAAGUCACCUCAUGUGAAAUAGAGACUAUGCUUUCAAAAAGUUCUGUAGUCAUGAAAGGAAAAGCUGUGGCCAGUGCUGUGGCAUAGCGGAUAAAGCCGCUGCCUGCGGUGCUGGCAUCCCAUAUGGGCGCCAGUUUGAGUCCUGGAUGCUCCUCUUCUGAUCCAGCUCUCUGCUGUGGCCUGGGAGAGCAGUACAAGAUGCCCCAAGUCCUUGGGCCCUUGCACCCACGUGGGAGACCAGGAAGAAGCUCCUGGCUUCAGCUCGGCGCAGCUCCGGCCAUUGUGACCAUCUGAGGAGUGAACAAAUGGAAGGAAGGCCUUUCUCCCUGUCUUUCCCUCUCACUGUCUGUAACUCUACCUCUCAAAUAAAUAAAAUAUUUUAGAAAGAAAGUACGGAAGGAAGAAACCAGGUAGAGUUAAAGUCAUUUGCUGGAGAAUUCCUCCUGUUUGGGAAGGGUUGGUCUCUGUUCUUUUUAGGUCUUCAACUGACUAGGUGAGACCCAUGCACAUUAUGGAGAGCCACCCGCUUGAUUCCAGUUCCAUCACUUCAAAUGUUAAUCUCAUCUGAAAACACCCUCACAGAAGCUUCAGAACCACGUUGGACCACCAGGCACUGUGAGCAGCCAAGGAGAGCUGGGCCAUAGACUCUCUGCUAUGGCCUGGGAAAGCAGUAGAAGAUGGCCCAAGUCCUUGGGCCCCUGCACCUGCGUGAGAGACCUGGAAGAAGCUCCUGGCUCCUGGCUUCAGAUCAGCACAGCUCCAGCCAUUGUGACCAACUGGGGAGUGAACCAGCAGAUGGAAGACCUCUGUCUCUCUCUGCCUCUCCUCUCUUUGUGUAACUCUACCUUUCAAAUAAAUAAAUAAAUAAAUCUUUAAAUUUUCA